rnacentral:rRNA from 1 species
GAUGAACGCUGGCGGCGUGCCUAAUACAUGCAAGUCGAGCGAACGGACGAGAAGCUUGCUUCUCUGAUGUUAGCGGCGGACGGGUGAGUAACACGUGGAUAACCUACCUAUAAGACUGGGAUAACUUCGGGAAACCGGAGCUAAUACCGGAUAAUAUUUUGAACCGCAUGGUUCAAAAGUGAAAGACGGUCUUGCUGUCACUUAUAGAUGGAUCCGCGCUGCAUUAGCUAGUUGGUAAGGUAACGGCUUACCAAGGCAACGAUGCAUAGCCGACCUGAGAGGGUGAUCGGCCACACUGGAACUGAGACACGGUCCAGACUCCUACGGGAGGCAGCAGUAGGGAAUCUUCCGCAAUGGGCGAAAGCCUGACGGAGCAACGCCGCGUGAGUGAUGAAGGUCUUCGGAUCGUAAAACUCUGUUAUAGGGAAGAACAUAUGUGUAAGUAACUGUGCACAUCUUGACGGUACCUAAUCAGAAAGCCACGGCUAACUACGUG